rnacentral:rRNA from 1 species
UACGUGGGGGGCAAGCGUUGUCCGGAUUUACUGGGCGUAAAGAGCGUGUAGGCGGCCAAGCAGGUCCGUUGUGAAAACUCGAGGCUCAACCUCGAGACGCCGAUGGAAACCAUCUGACUAGAGUCCGGAAGAGGAGAGUGGAAUUCCUGGUGUAGCGGUGAAAUGCGCAGAUAUCAGGAAGAACACCCGUGGCUAAGGCGGCUCUCUAGUACGGUACUGACGCUGAGACGCGAAAGCGUGGGGAGCGAACAGG